UUCUGUUUAAUGGGCAGUGCGGCUGAAGGCUUUAAACUGCGCAUUGUAUCAGCGUCCCUUUUUGUGAAGAAAGUACGGGUGGCCCCGGGAGUUCGUCUGGGGCACGCGGAGGCCCUGCUUACCGCUAAUGCUAAAUACCCUGUGGACCGCGUGGGAAUGAAAGUGUUUAGCAUUCCCGCGGGCAGCAGGGUCAGUAACCAGGAGAACCUGUUCUUGGGACAGUUACCCAAAAUGCUUGUCCUAGGGUUUGUGGAUAACGAUGCCUUUAGCGGAAGUUACACUAAAAAUCCCUUUCAUUUUAAACAUUACGAUAUUAAUUUUGUGGCCUUGUAUGUGGAUGGGGAACAGAUACCGACCAAGCCUCUGCAACCAGACUUCGAGGCAGGACGCUGCGUGAGAGAAUACAUGAAUUUGGUACAGACAGCUGGUAAACACAUGAAAGAUCGUUCUCUGUUAAUUGACCGUGAGGAGUUUGCACAGGGUUACACCUUGUUUGCCUUUGACCUGUCUCCCGACCAGGAAUGCGCUGAUCACUAUUCCCUGAUUAAAACCGGGAACCUGAGAGCAGAAAUACGUUUUGGGAGGGCGUUAACGGUUACCGUUAAUAUGAUUGUGUAUGGGGUUUUUGACAAUGUCAUAGAAAUAAAUCAGAGGAGAAACGUUCUGUUUGACUAUAUGUGAACAUGGACACCGUGCAGCUCUCACGUGUCUUAUCAACGGACCCUUACACGAAAAAGAAUUUCUUAGAUGUGUUCCCUUGCGAUUGGCUCCCAGAACGCAAGCUGUUUCAGAGACCCCUAGGCUUGGUGGUGAACACGCAUCCACACAACCAACCGGGUGAACACUGGCUUGCCUUGUAUCUGGCGGAGCGUAACCGUGGAGAGUUUUUUGACUCAUAUGGGCACUCCCCGAACAGUGUGUUGUUUCCUAAAAGCAUUAUGAAAUUUUUAAACAAAAAUGCCACAGACAUCGUGUUUCACAAUAGACAAUUACAAGACCCCCGCUCCG
rnacentral:lncRNA from 1 species